rnacentral:rRNA from 1 species
UGGGGAAUAUUGCGCAAUGGGGGAAACCCUGACGCAGCGACGCCGCGUGAAGGAAGAAGGUCUUCGGAUUGUAAACUUCUUUGGUCGGGGACGAAAAAAAUGACGGUACCCGAUAAAAAAGCCACGGCUAACUACGUGCCAGCAGCCGCGGUAAUACGUAGGUGGCAAGCGUUGUCCGGAAUUACUGGGUGUAAAGGGCGUGUAGGCGGGGAUGCAAGUCAGAUGUGAAACCCCACAGCUUAACUGUGGGCUUGCAUCUGAAACUGUAUUUCUUGAGUGUUGGAGAGGGAAGUGGAAUUCCUAGUGUAGCGGUGAAAUGCGUAGAGAUUAGGAGGAACACCAGUGGCGAAGGCGACUUCCUGGCCAACAACUGACGCUGAGGCGCGAAAGCGUGGGGAGCAAACAGG